rnacentral:misc_RNA from 1 species
GUGAUCACAUUUUGGUGGUUGGGUUUGGCCGAAAUCUAUAUAACUUGAUCGAACUAAAUCAAGAAGAUGCCUACCAUUUAGAUUUCCAUGCCUGGCAAUGGCACCCUCUGGCCUUUGAAGAGCAUGGUUGAAGAAAUUUAAAGCAAGGGUGGACAAGGAAGGGCCUGAUUCCUCUCCAGGCAUUCUCGACAAGUCAAAUAAACAUUCAAGAAUAAAGAAUGGGAUUUGAUUCUCA